CACCGAGGUUUACAGAGUGUGGAAGACAGGGGACAGCAAGGGAGAAAAGUAACAGGUAGGAAAAGUUGAAGAAGCCAAGGCACCCAGGUCUUUGUGUGCAAAUAUGCAGCGAGGCAGCUUCUACAGGGGCUGAAGGAGAAGACUAAGGCAGAGGAGCUUGUUAUAACUAACACAACGGAGGGCCCCGCACACCCAUUCCGACUGUAGCGCUCGGGGCCACCCGGUGACCUUCGGAGAAGGAAGUUGGUGGAUCCUCUCGCUUCCCUGGAAAGGCAGCUGGGCGCGGGGGAGUGUGUGCGGAGCGCGGUUCUGCCUCUCUCGGCCAUGGCGGGGCAGAUCAAAGCCGCAGAUUUCCGCUCGCAAGCCCGGGACUAAGGCCGGGACAGCAGGCACCUUCCGGGCCGGGAGUUCAAGGUGAGCCGGCAGCUGGAGACUAACAGGAGACUCCAGUUCAAUCCUAGUUGGGAAGAUCCCCUGAAGAAGGAAAUGGCAACCCACUCCAGUAUUCUUGCCUGGAGAAUCCCAUGGACAGAGGAGCCUGGCGGGCUACAGUCCAUAGGGUCGCAAAGAGUCAGGUUUUUUGUCUAUUAUGAACAUAGUUACUAUGAACAUUUGCAACUUGCAGGAUCUUAGGUCUCUGAUCAGGGAUCGAACCUGAGCUCCAGGAAUGAAAGCACAGAGUCUUAACCACUGGAUUGCCAAAGAAUUCCCUUAAAUUUCUUUUUUUGAAAAUUUCAGGGAGGGGGGAUCGGGAUGGGGAAUACGUGUAAAUCUAUGGCUGAUUCAUAUCAAUGUAUGACAAAACCCGCUGAAAUGAUGUGAAGUAAUUAGCCUCCAACUAAUAAAAAAAAAAAAAAGAAAAUUUCA